GGCCUAACACAUGCAAGUCGAACGGUUGUAGCAAUACAGCAGUGGCAGACGGGUGAGUAACACGUGGGAACCUUCCUAGGGGUACGGAACAACUCAGGGAAACUUGAGCUAAUACCGUAUACGUCCGUAAGGAGAAAGAUUCAUCGCCCCUAGACGGGCCCGCGUAGGAUUAGGUAGUUGGUGAGGUAACGGCUCACCAAGCCUACGAUCCUUAGCUGAUCUGAGAGGAUGAUCAGCCGCACUGGGACUGAGACACGGCCCAGACUCCUACGGGAGGCAGCAGUGGGGAAUCUUGGACAAUGGGCGCAAGCCUGAUCCAGCCAUGCCGCGUGAGUGAAGAAGGCCUUCGGGUUGUAAAGCUCUUUUACCAGGGACGAUAAUGACGGUACCUGGAGAAUAAGCCCCGGCAAACUUCGUGCCAGCAGCCGCGGUAAUACGAAGGGGGCUAGC
rnacentral:rRNA from 1 species